CAAAAAGGAGGGGUUGGCACCAGGGGCUGGACCAGCAGAGGCUCCAGGAUGCUGUUGCUGCCAGGUUUCUGCUGAGCUGAUGUUUCUUCUCUGCAUCACUGGAUUAUUGUGCCUGGCUGAGCACAGCAGGUCUGAGCCUGCAGCACUGGGACCUGCAGGGAAUAUUCCAAAGGGUCCCAAAGGCUCACACAGCCCAAGAGCUCUCCCCAAGGAUUACCAGGCAGGACUGGAACCCCUCCCAGAGGGAAGGUGUGGGAUUGCCAAGGAUAUGAGGACACCACUGAGAAAAAAGGCCCAGCUGAAGGACAUGAGAGAUGGUGCUGCCUUUGCAGGCAUCCUGAAGAUGAGUUCCUGCAGAAUGAAGAAAGUCAAUUCAGCGUCAUUCUGCACAGCACCGAGACAUUUGGAUUUUCUGUGACCUUCCUGAGUGAACACAGCGAGUUAACAUUUUUCUGUGCAGAAAGAAAGUACUUUGCAAGCAUAAAAUGGGGCACAGCAGAGGGAGGGCAGGAAUCCUUUAGGAGUUUCUCCAGCCCGAGGAGCUCAGGUAACUGCCUUGGCCUUUGCCUCAUCAAACAGAUUUCUCUUAUGCUGCAAAUAGCUAAAUAUUUGGGCAAAUACUAUGGUUACAGGAAUAAUAAU
rnacentral:lncRNA from 12 species